AUUGAACGCUGGCGGCAUGCCUUACACAUGCAAGUCGAACGGCAGCACGGGAGUAAUCCUGGUGGCGAGUGGCGAACGGGUGAGUAAUAUAUCGGAACGUGCCCAGUAGUGGGGGAUAGCCCGGCGAAAGCCGGAUUAAUACCGCAUACGACCUAUGGGUGAAAGCGGGGGAUCGCAAGACCUCGCGCUAUUGGAGCGGCCGAUAUCAGAUUAGCUAGUUGGUGGGGUAAAGGCCUACCAAGGCGACGAUCUGUAGCUGGUCUGAGAGGACGACCAGCCACACUGGGACUGAGACACGGCCCAGACUCCUACGGGAGGCAGCAGUGGGGAAUAUUGGGCAAUGGAGGAAACUCUGACCCAGCGACGCCGCGUGCGGGAUGAAGGCCUUCGGGUUGUAAACCGCUUUCAGUAGGGAAGAAGCGAAAGUGACGGUACCUACAGAAGAAGCACCGGCUAACUAUGUG
rnacentral:rRNA from 1 species